rnacentral:tRNA from 1 species
GUUGCAGCUCAGUGGUAGAGCUUUUGCCUAUCAAGUGCGAGGCACUGUGUUCGAUUCAUAGCAACA